CAGCUAGGAUGUUGGCUUAGAAGCAGCCAUCAUUUAAAGAAAGCGUAAUAGCUCACUAGUCGAGUCGGCCUGCGCGGAAGAUGUAACGGGGCUGAAAUAUAGCACCGAAGCUGCGGCAUCAGGCGUAAGUCUGUUGGGUAGGGGAGCGUUCUGUAAGCGGAUGAAGGUUAAUCGAGAGGUUAGCUGGACGUAUCAGAAGUGCGAAUGCUGACAUAAGUAACGAUAAAACGGGUGAAAAACCCGUUCGCCGGAAGACCAAGGGUUCCUGUCCAACGUUAAUCGGGGCAGGGUGAGUCGGCUCCUAAGGCGAGGCUGAAAAGCGU
rnacentral:rRNA from 1 species